CAUGGUUGUCAUGCCCGAGUCUCGCCAAUUGGACUUGUUCGGGCACGUGCAAUAGACUUGCUGGACAGGUAAGCUUUUUCCUAUCCAUGAGUUAAACAGUUGAUUAAGGGUAGAUGCGUAGUCUUCUUGACUACCGUUGUAGAUAGAAGUGGUGAGACUCCGAGGGUUGAAAAUAUCACGAUUGUGAGGGAGUUUUUGUGGACGUGUUCUUGGCAGAGUUACCAGGUAUGCCUCCUAACAGAGAUCGAGUUUGUUGUAGAUCUUAUUCUUGAACAAAGGAGUUUGUGCACGUGUUUCCGGCGGAGUUGCUAGGUAUGCCUCAUGACAGAGAGUGAAUUUGUUGUAGAUCUUAUUCUUGAAACUACCCCAAUCUCAAAGACACCUCAUAGAAUGGCGCUGGCGGAGUUGAAGGAGCUAAAGGCCCAAUUACUGGCUUUGUUGGAGAAAGGCUUCAUUAGGCUUUAGUGUUUUCCCUUGGAGAGCAUCAGUUUUUAUUUUUUAAGAAAAAGGAUGGAUCGUUUCGAUUAUGUGUAGAUUAUCAUGAACUCAAUUAAGUCACGAUUAAAAAUAAAUAUCAAUUGCUAAGAAUUGAUGAUUUGUUCGAUCAACUCCAAGGGUCAAAAGUGUAUUCAAAGAUUGAUUUGCAAUCUGGUUAUCAUCAGCUUAAGAUUAAGCCUGAGGAUGUCCCUAGGACGACUUUUUGGACAUGAUAUGAACAUUAAAAGUUUACCGUUAUGCCGUCUGGGCUCACUGAUACCCCUGCAAUAUUUAUGGAUUUGAUGAACUAUAUCUUUAAGCCUUUUUUGGAUAGAUUCAUUAUGGUGUUUAUCGAUGAUAUUUUGGUGUAUUCUCGAGGUGAUAAAGAAUAUGAAGAUCAUUUGAGAAAAGGAUUGCAAAUACUUCGAAAAAAGAAACUCUUCUCCAUAUUAAAGAAGUGUAAGUUUUGGCUACGAGAGCGAGCAUACUUGGAACAUAUGAUAUAUCAAAGGCUAAUAUAGCUAUGGAUCCUAAGAAAAUUGAGACAAUUAAGAAUUGGCCUAGACCACCUAAUAUCAACGAGAUUCAGAGUUUUCUCGAUUUAGCCUGAUACCAUAGGCAGUUCGUUGAGGGAUUUGCUAAGUUAUUUACUUCUCUUACUCGACUCACACAUAAAGGAAUCAAGUUCGUUUGGAAUGAUGUGUGUGAGAGAAGCUUCGUGGAAUUGAAAGACACAGUUGACAACCGCCCCAAUUUUGGCUUUGCCUAUUAUAUAUGCCGGACAUGUGGUGUACAGUGAUGCAUCCUUUAGUGGGUCGGGAUGUGUUUUAAUGCAAAAUGAGAAGGCAAUUGCUUAUGCCUCUCGUCAAUUGAAGGAUUAUGAAAGAAAUUAUCCCACUCACAAUUUGGAGUUGGAGGCCGUAGUUUUUACUUUAAAGCUAUGGCGACACUAUUUGUAUAGAGAGCAUUGUGAGAUAUUUACUGAUCAUAAAAGUUUGAAGUACAUCUUUAUUCGGAAGUAAUUAAACUUGAGGCAUCGACUAUGGUUGGAGGUACUCAAGGAUUAUGAUUUGACUAUUCUCUACCACCCAAGAAAAGCUAAUAUUGUGGUAGAUGCCCUAAGUUGCAAAUUGGUGGAGAACUUUGUGAUGUUGAUCACUACCCAGCUGCCGCUACUUGAAGAGAUGAGACAGCUAGAGUUGGAGAUUGUGGCACCCAAGAGGUUGAUGGCAUUAGUGUUGCAACGAACCUUGAUGGAAAGAAUCAAGGUGAAACAAGUUCAAGAUCCUAAUAUGCAAAAAAUUCGAUCUAGUAUCGAUAAAGGCUGCGCCGGUGAGUUUCAGGUGGAUGAUCACGAUGCACUUUGGUUUUGAGGCUCACUUUGUGUACCAGCGGAUACAAAGAUAAAAGAGAAAAUUUUGAAGGAGGUGCAUCGAGCAACGUAUUCACUUCAUUCGAGGGCCACCAAGAUAUAUAAAGAUUUAAAGUUGCUUUAUUGGUAGCCCGGCAUAAAAAAGGAUGUUGGAAAGUUUGUGACACUAUUUGACAUGCCAACAAGUGAAGACCGAGUAUCAACUUUUCGUGGGCAAGUUGCAAAGUUUACCUAUUCUCGUGUGGAAGUGGGAGAGAAUCACCAUGGAUUUAGUUAUGGGUUUGCCUCGCUUUCAAGCCGGGUAUGAUGCUGUUUGGGUGAUUGUGGAUAGGUUGACGAAAUUAGUGCAUUUUAUUCCUAUUCACACUACGUGGUUUAGAGAAAAACUCUCCCAAGAAUAUCUCGAUAAGAUUGUGCGACUUCACGAAGUGCCUACUUCUAUUAUAUUAGAUCGAGAUCCGAGGUUUGCAUCUUAGUUUUGGAGGAUUCUUCAUGAGGCACUAGGCACAUGAUUGGAUUUCAGUACUGCUUUCUACCCUAAGAGCGACGGGCAGUCAGAGCAUACUAUUCAGACUUUGGAGGACAUGCUCUGAGCAUGUGUUUUGAAUUUUCAGAGUGGUUGGCAUCAACACCUAUCCAUAGCGGAGUUUGCUUAUAGCAAUAGUUAUCAAGCAAGUAUUAAGAUAGCACAAUUUGAAGCUCUUUAUAGAAGAAAGUACCGAUCACCUCUACAUUGGAGUGAGGUGGUUGAAAGACUAGUUUUGGGCCUUGAUGUACUUCAAGAGGCCAAGGACAAGGUUCAACUCGCUCGUGAAUGAUUGAUUAUAGCACAAAGUCGACAAAAGAGUUAUGCUGAUAAGCGUCGGCGUGAAUUGGAACUUCUAGUAGGAGAUUAUGCCUUCUUAAAGGUAUCGCCGACUCGAGGAGUCAAGAGAUUUGGAAUUCGAUGAAAACUAAGCCCUCAAUUUAUUGGACCAUUGAGGUUUUGGAGCGUGUUGGUCCGAUGGCAUAUCGGCUUGCUCUACUACUGAACUUAUUGGAGUACACAAUGCAUUUCAUAUCUCGACACUUCGGAAGUAUGUGAUCGAUCCAUCUCACGUGAUGGCCUUAGCUCCGUUAGAGCUACAAGAGGAUCUGAGCUUCGAGGAGCAUCUGGUGUGGAUUUUUAGCUUACAAGGUGAGAAAACUUUGGAAUCGCGCGAUACUUUAUGUAAAGGUGCUUUGGAGCAACCACGAGGAACACGAGGCUAUGUGGGAGCUGGACAGUGUGCUACAGGAACACUUCUCUCAUCUAUUUCAGAUGUAGGAUUUAGGUAUUUGUCCUUUAGUUUUACGGACAAAACUCUUUUUUAGGAGGGGAGGUGUAGCACACUAGACUUUCGCAAAUUGCAGAGUUCUAGUGAGUGAGAUAGUAUUUGGUACUAUCCAGAUGAUUUCGGUAGUUUUUGGAGGGUGUUAGAAUAUUUUUAGUGUGAAAUAGCAUGAAAACUCAAUUUUUGGAACAAACCAUACCUGAGCUUUCAGAGUCUCGGGAACCGGACCUUGACUAGAAGGACCAAACUUUGAUGUUGCAAAAUACUAUUCCGAAGAUCAAAGAUCGGACCUUGAGGAAAGGAUCGGUCUUUGGCUGCGUAGACUGGAAGUAUACACUUCGAGAACUGGACCUUCCUACAGGGACCGGUCCCUCUAUAGUCUGGGACUAUUGUGCAAUAAUUUCUUACUCUUUGAGGGUCCUAAGUGGAUAUUGUUGCUACAUGCUUUAAGGCCCUUCAUUUCCCUUGUUUCCCCUUCAUUUGGAAGGUGCAAGAGAAAAGAAAGAGGUGAGUUUCUCUCAUUUUUUUUCUUGGAAUAUUUUCUCCUCCAAUCUAUUUUAAUCUUUAGAUUCCUCUUCUUUCCUUCAUCUCCUCCGUGGAUGCUUGCACCAAGAGCUUGGAGUGAGGCUUGGACUUGAAGAAGAGAGUUAUUUAGAGCCCUAGACUUCAACCCUAGCAUUUUAAUGUUGGAUUGGAGCUUUGAUCAAGGAUACAAAAAAAAUCAAUGAGGCAACUUUGAUUUGGGGAUUGAUCAAGUCUUGGUGACUAUCCGGUGGGUUUGACCUCACCGAAAUUAAUGAACUCCCCCUAUGUCUUCUAUAGUUUCAUAGGGCUUAACAGAUGUUCUAGCAUACAAUUCAUGAUAUCAUUGAAUUUAUGAGCAUGUGGUUUGGCCACUUCUUGCAUUGUGAUUUUUAUUCUCUAUGUAGUAGAGACAUAUAUAGUAGAGUACAUGCAUGGCAUUGCAUAUGAGUUUAGUUGAUAGUUAUACAUCUCAUUUGGAUGUGGCAUGAGUAAUUUAUUCCUACACAUGUUAUAGUAGAGUUGGGAUAUAUGUGGCAUAUAACUUUUAUGCUUGAGCUUCAUUGAUAAGUACAAUCAUCUGAUUGAGACGAGUAAUUUAUCGUUUAUACUUGCUAUAGUUAAGGUGAAAUGUGUAAUUCUUGCAUGUUAGAGAUACGUUGUAACAAUGAUAGGAAUUCUCCUUCAAAUAAGUUGAGGCAUUGAUUAUGACAUAUGUAACAUUGUAUCUGAUAUAGGGGUCAAAAAUUGAGAUAUCAUAUUUUAGACAUAAUUAUUGAGACUCUAUGUCCUUUGACAUGACAUAUGCGACUACACCUUCUUGCCCUUAUACUUAUUUGCAUAUGCUUUUGAGGGUCGUUCCCUGUAAGCCGACACUCCGAAGUUUAGACAUGACGGCUCGCCGUGCGAGAUUGGGCGUCAAAAUAGGACGCCGUGGGGGAGUCUUAUUCCUAGAGGAGGAACAUUGACUACUAUGGGACCAUUAUGGACGGCGCAAGCGGGGACGUUACCUUGUAGAGUCGAGAAAGAUCGCAUAUCUCCAAUCAGUAGGUACUUGGAGUCGUGGACGAUCAACACUCUAAGCACUACAUAGGGAGUUGAGGGUGAUUGACAUCUCCCAAUGCAACAUAGGGAGUUGAGGAUGAUUGGUAUCUCCCUGUCUGAUACUUCUAAAAGCUCGCAACAUCUCUCAUUAUUACACUCUAAAUUCUCAUGACCUCUGGGGUGAUACAUAUGGUUCAUUUCCAUGUUCUCUUGUUUUCUAUUUCAAGUUUUACCUAGAAUCCAUAUGUCACUAUGUUUACGACAUAAGCUAUAACAUAAGUUCAAUGCAACAUUUAUUUCUUAUAUUGAUGGUUCACAUAAUACUUACAUACACAUGUCAAAUAUUUUCUUGUAAUAUAAUAAAGGGAUAAAACCCUAUUUUCCUAGGUCAAAUGCUCACAUACUAUGUAAUGUAUUGAAAUUUUACAAAUAGCGGAGUUUUGGUGAAGAAUAGUAAUGAAAACUAUUUAGAUGAUCCCUAUGGUGUUUGGGAAGCAUUAGAGUAUUUUCGGCACAAAAAUAGUGCGAAAAUAGAUGUUGAAGAGUCACAUCUGCAAACUACAGAUUUUUCAUUGAGUACCAGUAUCGAUAGUACCAGUACGGGAGUGAAGUGCCGGUAUUCGGUUGCAUGGAGGGCGGGAAAGCUCUUGGGCUAUAUGGAAUUGUCCCGAGUACUGGUACUAAAAAAUUGGAUGAGUACUGAUACUAAAAUGGACGAGUACCGAUACACAAUAGAAAAUAAAGAAAACCAACAUUUGGGUUCUGCGGAAUUGGUCUGGAGUGUGGAGACAUUUGAGUUGUGUACUGAUAUUGAAAUCCGCAUAACGAUACUAUACUCUGUGAAUAGCAGAUUUUGGUCAGCUACAAAUAGGAAUAUUUGGAGGGUUAAAGUGCAAUUAUAGAACUUCUAUAAAUACUCAUUCAAUAGCCAAAACUCUAAUCUCACACAUUUCUCUCUAACUCUCUCUCUUCUUUCUCUCUCAAAAAUAGGAGAAACCAUAGCUCUGUCCCCUUGUGAGAUCUAUUGGAUCCAUCUCUCUAGAGGUUUGGAGUAGAUCUAGGGUAUCAAGGAGAAGUAUUUGAAGAGAGAAGGCAACCAUCUCAACCUACAUUUCUCCUAUUUGGAGAAAAGAGGUGAGUUGGUGUUUGUAGGUGUUAUUUUAGGGGUUAUUCUCCAAAAGAUAGAAUUUUGAGGUUCUAACUUCGUUAGAACUAGUUUUAAUGUUUUCUUGGGGUUCUUGAGAGAUCAAGGAGCAUUUCUUUAGGAAGAUCCGAGAUAGGGAAUAUCAUCGAAAUGAGAUCUCCUCUUUGUCUAAAACCUUUUUUUAUUCAUAUUCAUAUAUUAUAGGUAAAAGUAAACAAUAGCAUCUUUAAUUUGUAUGUUAUGAGAUCUAAGAGUUCAUGUGUGCUAAAGAGCCUUUGACAUAGAAAACAAAAGGGUUUCCAAUCUUUUGCCAUGUGAAGGGGAAGUGCAUGUUGCAUGUAAACAAAGUGCUAUAUGAACUUGGAACAUAGGUGAUAUGAUAGUGAGAUAUAACUUAGGAUGGAACCUAGGUUGAGGAAAAUAUGGCAUUUAACCUAGGUUGAAACCUAAGGUGAGGACAAUAGAGGCAUGGAACUGUAGGUAAACUUAAAACUAGAGAACAAGAACACAUGUAAGUGGACAUUGUGGACAAUCCUGGAAGUCAUGAGAACAUAGUGUUUAAUUAAGAUAUAAAUUGCGACCUUUGGAAAGUAUCAUAUUGGGUGAUACCAAUUCCCUUCAAUGCCUUACUCCAAAUUGGGAGAUGUCAAUCCUCUCGACUCCCUACUAUACUUGGUGAUGCCGAUCUCCUUCAAUGCCAAGUGCUUAUCUGUGGGAAGGAUGCUAUUAACCUUUGACUCUCCGUGUGGAGUGUAGUGAAAAGUGAAACGAAUGAAGUGGGUGGUUACAGGCAUGAGACUAGUUGGGUUAAACAUAAAACCAACGGCAUGAGAUAAUAUGGUGACAUAUUGUAUGCCUAUUUGAGGCCUAAUAGUUGUAUUUACUUUCAUUUCUGUUGUAGAAAAAGAUAUUAUUUAUGUUUAUUGUCCAUUGAUGCCUCCCUUGGACCAAGUGACGGUGGAGUGCCACUUUCGGCGGUUGCACCCACUAUAAACUUAUCUAAAGUUCCUACCCUGUUGUUGUUUACACCUUUUCAGAUCCCUCUACCAUCGACGAGGCCCGUGAUGGCCGCAAAGAUGUCACGAGCUAGAUAGACCGUGGUUAGUCGGUCUAGAUGAAAGUACCUCUUUCUAUAGAAAGCAAGACUAUUUAUUAUUUUGGAGAGUGUUGAUAUGUAAAUUUUAAAGUGUUAUAAUCUAAUGAAGUUUCAAACCGUAAUGGUUUAAUUUA